ACGAUACCCGGUCGCUUGUACUAGUGAGGCGCCAUCUAGAACACCGUUUCCGACUUGAUUCCCAAUCAACGCCAUACGUAGCGUCUAAUAAGAGUCACGUGUGCAGACCGCUCAGCCAAUCAGAAACGCUGGAGAUUGUGUGGACCGCCUACCCACCGGAAGCAUGUGAUCUGCAGGACAAGGCGAGGUCACGAUGGAUUCGACCCGUGGUGGGCGGGAAGGAGGCCUAUGCGUUACUAGACGACGACAUCAUUCGUCAAACGGGCUUACGGCCAUGCCUCCAGUUGGUAAUCCAGAGUCGUCUGCGACGUGACGGCUUCAUCAUCCUGCCUUCUGACGUCAGAGACGGAGUCCAGCGCGUGACAAAUGAGGCUCAGGCGCUUGACCUUAUUGACAAGUUCAUAAAAGACAGACGCUGGAUUAAUAUCUUAUAACGCACCCAAGGUUUAAAGGCCUCGUUUCUGGAAUGUCUGGCCUCUACUGACAGUUUUCCACUCAGUGUAUUGGGCUGCCAUAUUAUAUCUUUUAUCUGACAUUUUGUCUCAGCCGAUUUAACAUUCGCUCAUUGAUAUUACUCUGUUGCAGUGAUUUUCAGUUGAU